UGGAUCCUGCUGACUGGGCUGUUACUGAUGUUGUGAAUUAUUUCAGAACAGCUGGAUUUGAAGAACAAGCCAGUGCUUUUCAGGAACAGGAAGUGUCAAUGAGCAUGUUGAGAUAGCUACAUCACUGUAUCCAGAACAAAAGGGAGGAGAAGCCCUGGCCACAGUUCACCAGUAACAUCUGUGUUUCCCUUACCCGUGUCUGGAGCUGUCAGUGCUGUGGAGCUGCUGUGCUGGCCCUGGUACACAGGAAAUAUUUACAGAGAAGUAGGGGAUGCUGCCAGUUCUUUUCUCACCAUUCCGGCACUGCUCAGCUUCACAAAAGCGGAUCCCAUCAGGAACACAAAUGAAUGAGUGGAUGUGGGGAACGCCAUCCUGCAAUUUAGAGCAGACAUCGCAACUUCUCCUUUCAGAGCCGCUCGGGGCUCGCCCUGCGCAGCCGGGAAAACAAAAUGCCGGCGGGAUCUGCUUGGUGCCAGCCUGCUCUGCUCUUACUCCUCUCCUGGGUGCCCCUGUGGGCCGCUGGGAUUUCCUGCAGGAAUGAAAAUGGGGAGACGGUGGACUGGUUUGCUCUUUACAAGCUGCCAAAGCAUGCCAAAGGACAGAUUCCCCUGCUGGGCCUGGAGUACCUGUACAUGGAUGCUCUGACUCCACAGUGGCAGCUUGGUAAACACCUCAUCAACAUGAGCCAGGGUGCUCUGGGACAAACACUGCAGCAGCUCUAUGAGACAUAUGAAUCCAAGAGGAACACCACUGCAUAUGCAAUAUACAACGAUGAGAUCCCUGAAUCAGACUCCAAAGGAUCAAAAUGUGGACACACCAAAGGGUUUCUGCUCUUGGAUAAAUCACAAGGCUUCUGGGUGAUUCACAGUGUGCCCCUGUUCCCUCCCAGCCCUGAGGAUGGUUAUGGAUAUCCAUCUACUGGGGAGUCCUUUGGACAGACAGCCAUCUGUAUAACCUUCCGAUAUGAUCAGUUCACAGAAAUAGACCAACAGAUGCUGAGUUAUAAUCCAGGAAUCUACAGCUGUUCCAUCCCUGACAUCUUCCAAGCUGAUCUCCCAAAUCUCCAGAAACUCUGUGCAAAGUCCAGGCUGCCCUCACCCCCCUUGCACCACCUCUCCAAGCUCCAGUCAGCUCAGGGGGAAACCUUUCUCCACUUUGCAAAGUCACACUUGUUCAUAGAUGAUAUCUAUGUGGCCUGGAUGGCUCAGGAACUGAAGACUGAUUUGUUGGCUGAAUCCUGGCAGCGUUCUGGUGAAAAGCUUUACUCGAAUUGCUCUCUUGACUACCACGUCUACAAUAUAAACAUAAUAGGGAUGCCUUUGAACUCCACCUUCCAUUCUAUUAAUGAUCAUUCCAAAUGGGCUGUUUCAAGGAAAUACAAAGAUCAGUGGACAUGCAUUGGGGACUUGAACCGUGCUGCCGAGCAAGCUUGGAGAAGUGGUGGGUUCAUCUGUACCCAGAACGAACAGAUCUAUAAAGCCUUCAGGCAUUUGAUAAUCCACUAUGAAAGCUGCACUUCUGCUCCCAGAGACCUCUAACAAGCAUUCCUCCCAACCAGCACAGCCCUUGUUACAUGGGAAGUGUAGGAAGUCUCUCUCUCUCUGAACUGUGUUUUCACUCUGAAAAGCAGCCCUGUGAGUUUCCAGAUGUGCUAGGCCAUCCCCUUGUUAGCUGUAGGAGCAGGUGAAGGGCAGCUGCUUUCCUGUGCUGUGGGGCCCUCAGGGGGUGUGUGCUGGGCCCUGCUCUGCUCCCUGGCUCCUGUCACCAUUCCCCAUGGCAUGGCAUGGCAGGGACACUGCUGCACGGGGCUGCACCAAAGCACAUCUCUGUGCACACCCUGGACGAGCAUCCCUGGACACCUUGGGAGUGGGGCUGGACCUGGGACGGGAGGGACAACAGGAACCUCUCUCUUGAACUGGGCUGUCAGCACUGGCAGGUAGCAAGGGAUAAGCACCCCCAAGUGCUUCAGAACUGCCCUGGAUUUCUGGCACUGUUGAGAUAAAUCACAGCAUUUCUGCUCAGCUUGGGCUGAAUCUCUAAAAGAGCUGAGAAAAUUAGAUCCAGACCGGGAGAUGAGUAGAUCUGAGGACAGGAAGGCCUCAUUUUUACAUGAUUCAUUUUUAGAAAAUUAAUGAACUUUAAAUCAUCUUUAAAUUGUCUGUAACUAAUAGCUUGGAAAUAUUUCUAGUGCUUCUAUUAAUGUACUGCAAUUUUAUAAACAAAUAAACACGUUCAAAAUACGAAUAAGCAAAACAAGGAGUAACAAUAGUCUGUUUACAUUCUCCCUUUCCCAUCUGUAUAGUUAUUUGUGGUUGGUUAAAAUGUUUUAUGGCUGCCAAAGGAAAAAUGAAGACAAUUAGGAAAAAUUAUAAAGAGAAGAAUAUAUUUGAAGAAAAAUGUUAUUUAACCUACAUUUUCACAUUACAACAAAGAUGGCUGUAAUUUUCAAUAUCUCUGCUCUCAGGCUUAGGAGCUGAAGUUUGCAUAGUCUUGCUAUAAAGACAAAGCUGAUUUGCAAACUCCCAAUACACUCUUGUGUUCAGAUUUCAGAUGUGUAUCUGUGUUUAAUAUGUUCCUAAAUAUAUUUCUAUGUUUCUGUCUCUUCUUUUCCUGAAUUGCUAAUAUAAACUCCAGUCUGAAGAUUUGGCUGUCCCACUGAUAUUUCUGUCUUGCUGAGUUUGUAGUCCCCACUACUGAUCCUCCACAGAAGUAGGUAUGAAGAAAUGCCCCACAACCACAAGAGGUUGCCAAAGAUUUCUUUCCCUUUUCACCCUGAACAAUCAGCCAAACAACGAAGUGUAAAAAGUGUCAAACUAAUUAAUUUCAGAAAACACUUGUGCAUAUUUCUUGAAGAGACAGAAAUAAUCUAUGUGUGAUGUGUAAUGAAGGGAAUUGUACAGGAAUAGGUUUCCUAAUUAGCCAGUCUGGAUUAAAGGUAGCUCGUAGCUUGAGUCUCAUGGCUCAGUGAAAAUAGUUUUGUUGCUUAGAUAUCCUGCAAGAAUUUUUUUAUUUUAUUUUACCUGCAUAUGACCCAAUAACAGAUAGAUAAUUUGUUUGAUAAUGUUCUUUCUCUGAUGCCUGUCAAACUGUUUUACAUAUUUACUUCUUGUUUUGCUAGCUGUGGUCAAGCAACACCUUUUGUGGCAGUGAAAAUUGCCAGUGACACAGAACACUGUGCCGUGGCAUGGUAGGGCUUUGCUCAGAUAAGCCAAGACAAAAUUAAUUUAUCUUGCCUAUCUUUUCAUGGCAGACACUGACCUAACCUGCCUGUCUGAGCUCUUGUGUCUUGCCCACAGCUUUGUGUAAGCACAACUUCAGUGUACAGGACUGGCAAGGAAUCCUCUGCUGGAGACCGUGCUGGCAAGCUCACCAUGUGUGUCAGGGAGCUCCUGGAUCUGUGUAACAACCUGUAUUUCUUGUAGUAUUUUCAAAUACUCAGCCACAGCACGUGGGUCACAGGGUUCAAUGGCCAAGAGUCUCGGUCCCACUGGUUGUCACAGCAGUGUUGCCAGCCUUCUGCUCCCCAGGCCAGCAGUCACCAGUGCAUCACUUGAAAUAAGUGCUGAUUGCUGUUCUUAAUUACUUGGUCAAUUAAUAGCUGUCAUAAAGUUUUACAGGACUACUUAAACAUUUGUCUUUCAUUAUACCUAAGACUGGUUGCCUCCAUUUUAGCUAUAACUGAGGAGGCAAAAAGAGCAGUGGGAAGAUGCAGAGAAACAGCUGCCCCAUUCAGCCCUAUGAGCACCUCAGCAGCCUGGCUGUGCACACACUCAUUUCAGUGGUGGAGCAAUAAAAAGGCUGCAGAUCUGGUUCUCAUUUUUUGACUGUAAACAGCUUUAAUUCAGUUUUGCUUUCGUUGUGUAACUUUUGUAUUUGCAUAUCUGCGUAUUUCUGCUACAUGUUAUGAAACAGGGCCAGACUCUUUGUUUCCCUGAAGAGACUAAUAGUCAACAAAAUAAACAGUAUAGAUUUUUAAAGGGUUUGUAACUCUAAAAGUCUUAGGAAUUUCUUCAAAAAUGCAAGACCAUAAGCCACUUACUCACCCUCACAGCAUGCCCUAUGUGAGAUGUUUACUUUUUGCCUAUUAUAUAUAUAUAUAUUAAUAAGGUUUUUAAAUUUAAAAUAUGCUGUUCUAUUUUAAGAUGCCAAACACUCAAGAAACAUCUGCCUGUCCCAGUGAUUCUGUGCUGCCUCUGCUGCCCACUGCAACCCUUUUGACUGGACAGACUGGUUCCUGCAAAAGGGGACACAUGGCAUGGCCCCUCUGCAGUUUCAGGGAGAUCUGCUCAGCAAAACUGACUCUGCAGAAGUGCCCAAACACUGGACCCUGGCUUGGAGAGAGGAGAAAGCUGCUGCCUGGUGUGGAAACCUGGAGUGUCUUCUCAGCAUGCAGCUGGUGACACUAACGUGAGCUGCAUUCAUUCUUGCAGCAUUGAGAGUACCACAGGCAAAAAGAGGCAAAAGCUUUAAUAAAGGAAUAGGUCUACUGCAACAAAGGAAACAACAGCAAGAAACAGAGACAAGGACACAUCCUAGCCCCAUUAAUAUCAGCAGCAAUUUGCCUUCAUCUUCAGUGGGAACAGAACUUCAAAGACAUGGGAAUCACCCAUACAACCUGAAGGGUAAAACCUGAACCUUCCAUAGUCUCUGACACAAGCUGAGUUUGAGGGUGGUGGGGUAGUCCUGACACCAUGAAAAUGUCCCCAGCAGGAGUUGCAUGACCUUGGCCUGGCUGUGACCUUGUCCCUGGCACUGGCAGGUGGUGUUGUUAGGACAGACCUCAGAGAGUUCAUUCCUUGACAGAAGAACCUCCCUGAGGCCCAUGAGCUGGGCACAGGUGAAGCUCCUCUCUCUCUUUGCUCAUGGCUGUACUUUCAGUGCCCAAAUCAGGAUGAAGUGACAUCCCCACCUUUAUUGGUACAUUUUUUAUGUCUCAGUAGCUUAAGAUAUUCUUUCAAAGCCUGUCCCUGGCAGAAUGAAAGCUGUAUCUCCUCAGUCCUGAUUUGUGUUGUUUGAACUGAGGAAGACGAGUGGUGUGCAUAUAAAGAAUAGUUUCUUCUCUAGGAAGAUUUAAGAUCUCCCCUGAAGACUAAGAACAUAUUUAAGUGAACAUGGCCUGCUAAAUGCUGGGAAUGAGGGAAAGCCAGGAUGAGGGGACUCUUUCCUGGGCAACUCUGCAGGUCUUGUUUUGGUACUCACACCAUACAGCAAGUAAAAAUUCAAAGAAGAGAUGUGCUAACAACAGAAUUAGUUUUCCUGUCCUUCCUUUGGAUGACUCCUAGUGCUUCUUCCAUUCCUGGGAAUGCAUAAUAUGACAUGGUAUCAAGUUGCUGGAUGAAAAUAUGUAUAAUGUACAACCUGGGAAGGUUGCUACACUCUUGAUGAGUUUAUUUGCUCCUCAUAGUCAUAUUUUAGCUCUGUGAGAAAAAGUUCCCCUCUGUCCUUCAUUAUUUACUGGUCACCGAAGUAAGUCUGACAAUAUAGACUCUUUCAAAUAAACCAGAUUCCAGAGAACAGUAGGAAAAUGUUCCAUGGGAGUGUGUACCCUAACUAAGGCCCCUCCAUCAAUUUCUAAUUAUAUUUCAUGUUUUGUAUGGUGUCUGCACCCCGAGACCACUGCAGCCAUAUCAGGAAAGCAAUGGCAAGCACUUUCAGAAAAGCCCCUCUAAAAGAGGUGAGUUUAGCACAUUUGCUUGUCUGUGUUCUAUACAGCAGUGAUUUUGUGUUUCUGAGUGUAAAGAGUUCUGUGGACAACCUUUUUUAAGGCCAAAAACAUGACUACAAAAUACAAGUUCAUUCAUGUUUUCCAUACAUUAAAUUUCUUAAGGAAUCUGAAGCCUCUCCUGGAAAACUAUAAGAACAUUUCAAAACCUGUGCUCUUUACAAGUCAGACCCAUAUUGUAUGUCAAAAUAUACAGCUGGGGUUUUUUGAAAGAGCAAGCACUGCUCAGGAUCCUGCAGGAACAGAGAACUUGGGAUUUCAAUAUUUUUUUUAUAAUAAAAUGUAAUAUUUGUUUAAUGCUAAAUUCCUCUGGGUUUCAGUGCCCUUAUUGUUCACUACCAGCACAUAUAUAAUCAGCCUAAGAAAGGAGGAGCAGAGCAUAUGUUUUGGCUGCUUUGAGAAUCAUAGAAUAAUGACAUUUGAGUCUGUGGGUUUAGCUUGGUAG